rnacentral:rRNA from 1 species
GGGGAAUAUUGCACAAUGGGGGAAACCCUGAUGCAGCAACGCCGCGUGAAGGAAGACGGUCUUCGGAUUGUAAACUUUUGUUCUUGGUGAAGAAAAAUGACGGUAGCCAAGGAGGAAGCCACGGCUAACUACGUGCCAGCAGCCGCGGUAAUACGUAGGUGGCAAGCGUUGUCCGGAAUUACUGGGUGUAAAGGGAGCGCAGGCGGGAAAUCAAGUUGGAUGUGAAAUGUCGGGGCUUAACCCCGGAACUGCAUCCAAAACUGAUAUUCUUGAGUGAAGUAGAGGUAGGCGGAAUUCCGAGUGUAGCGGUGAAAUGCGUAGAUAUUCGGAGGAACACCAGUGGCGAAGGCGGCCUACUGGGCUUUAACUGACGCUGAGGCUCGAAAGUGUGGGGAGCAAACAGGAUUAGAUACCCUGGUAGUCCAUGCCGUAAACGAUGAUUACUAGGUGUUGGAGGAUUGACCCCUUCAGUGCCGCAGUUAACACAAUAAGUAAUCCACCUGGGGAGUACGACCGCAAGGUUGAAACUCAAAGGAAUUGACGGGGGCCCGCACAAGCAGUGGAGUAUGUGGUUUAAUUCGAAGCAACGCGAAGAACCUUACCAGGUCUUGACAUCCGAUGCAUAGCUUAGAGAUAAGUGAAGUCCUUCGGGACAUCGAGACAGGUGGUGCAUGGUUGUCGUCAGCUCGUGUCGUGAGAUGUUGGGUUAAGUCCCGCAACGAGCGCAACCCUUAUUGCCAGUUACUACGCAAGAGGACUCUGGCGAGACUGCCGUUGACAAAACGGAGGAAGGUGGGGAUGACGUCAAAUCAUCAUGCCCUUUAUGACCUGGGCUACACACGUACUACAAUGGCGUUUAACAAAGAGAAGCAAGACCGCGAGGUGGAGCAAAACUCAAAAACAACGUCUCAGUUCAGAUUGCAGGCUGCAACUCGCCUGCAUGAAGUCGGAAUUGCUAGUAAUCGCGGAUCAGCAUGCCGCGGUGAAUACGUUCCCG